rnacentral:rRNA from 1 species
UACGUAGGGGGCGAGCGUUGUCCGGAUUUAUUGGGCGUAAAGAGCGCGUAGGCGGCCUGGUAGGUCUGCUGUGAAAACUCGAGGCUCAACCUCGAGACGUCGGCGGAAACCAUCUGGCUAGAGUCCGGAAGAGGAGAGUGGAAUUCCUGGUGUAGCGGUGAAAUGCGCAGAUAUCAGGAAGAACACCCGUGGCGAAGGCGGCUCUCUGGGACGGUACUGACGCUGAGGCGCGAAAGCGUGGGGAGCGAACAGG